UACGAAGGGGGCUAGCGUUGCUCGGAAUGACUGGGCGUAAAGGGCGCGUAGGCGGAGUGCUUUGUCAGGCGUGAAAUUCCAGGGCUUAACCUUGGGGCUGCGUUUGAGACGGGCAUUCUUGAGUAUGGAAGAGGGUCGUGGAAUUCCCAGUGUAGAGGUGAAAUUCGUAGAUAUCGGGAGGAACACCAGUGGCGAAGGCGGCGACCUGGACGGACACUGACGCUGAGACGCGAAAGCGUGGGGAGCAAACAGG
rnacentral:rRNA from 1 species